rnacentral:rRNA from 1 species
CCUACGGGAGGCAGCAGUGAGGAAUAUUGGUCAAUGGACGCAAGUCUGAACCAGCCAUGCCGCGUGAAGGAAGACGGCUCUAUGAGUUGUAAACUGCUUUUGUACGGGGGUAAACGCAGAUACGCGUAUCUGUCUGAAAGUAUCGUACGAAGAAGGAUCGGCUAACUCCGUGCCAGCAGCCGCGGUAAUACGGAGGAUUCAAGCGUUAUCCGGAUUUAUUGGGUUUAAAGGGUGCGUAGGCGGUCGGAUAAGUUAGCGGUGAAAUCCCGGGGCUCAACCUCGGAAUUGCCUCUGAUACUGUUCGGCUUGAGAGUAGUUGCGGUAGGCGGAAUGUAUGGUGUAGCGGUGAAAUGCUUAGAGAUCAUACAGAACACCGAUUGCGAAGGCAGCUUACCAAGCUACUUCUGACGUUGAGGCACGAAAGCGUGGGGAGCAAACAGGAUUAGAUACCCCUGUAGUC